GACGAACGCUGGCGGCGUGCUUAACACAUGCAAGUCGAACGGAAAGGCCCUGCUUUUGUGGGGUGCUCGAGUGGCGAACGGGUGAGUAACACGUGAGUAACCUGCCCUUGACUUUGGGAUAACUUCAGGAAACUGGGGCUAAUACCGGAUAGGAGCUCCUGCUGCAUGGUGGGGGUUGGAAAGUUUCGGCGGGUGGGGAUGGACUCGCGGCUUAUCAGCUUGUUGGUGGGGUAGUGGCUUACCAAGGCUUGGACGGGUAGCCGGCCUGAGAGGGUGACCGGCCACAUUGGGACUGAGAUACGGCCCAGACUCCUACGGGAGGCAGUAGUGGGGAAUAUUGCACAAUGGGCGCAAGCCUGAUGCAGCAACGCCGCGUGCGUGAUGACGGCCUUCGGGUUGUAAACCGCUUUCGCCUGUGACGAAGCGUGAGUGACGGUACUGGGUAAAGAAGCACCGGCUAACUACGUG
rnacentral:rRNA from 1 species